rnacentral:misc_RNA from 1 species
GAUGAAGAACGCAGCGAAAUGCGAUAAGUAAUGUGAAUUGCAGAAUUCAGUGAAUCAUCGAAUCUUUGAACGCACAUUGCGCCCGCCAGCACUCUGGCGGGCAUGCCUGUUCGAGCGUCAUUUCAACCAUCAAGCCCCCAGGGGCUUGUGCUGGGGCCCUGCGGCUGCCCGCAGGCCCUGAAAACCAGUGGCGGGCUCGCUAGUCACACCGAGCGCAGUAGCACAUCUCGCUCAGGGCGUGCGGCGGGCUCCUGCCGUGAAACCCCCCACUGUAACCCCAAAGGUUGACCUCGGAUCAGGUAGGAAUACCCGCUGAACUUAAGCAUAUCAAUAAGCGGGAGGA